rnacentral:rRNA from 1 species
AUGUCCAUGUUUGUGCUGAACAAGAUGUAUGAGCUCAUCUCUAGUGGACUUAGGACUGACAAGGGCUUCAAGGAUGUGCACUUGAACACUGUUGCGAAGCAGGUGUUCAAGUUCUAUGGGCAGGAGGUGUUCUCCACCCAGCACAUCUUCUCCUUCGGGCUGGCAACUGGGAAGCAUGCCAUGGGCUCGGGGGAGCCUCUUGGUUCUUCCAUGCCAGACUUCCCUGGGACCCCAGACAUUAAGGUCUUGAUGGACCUGACAAGCCCUUCGAGAAGCCUUUCAACAAGGCCUUUGACCCUGUCCAUGGUAGGAAGUGGGAGAGAGGAGGCCUGA